CCCUUAGAUGUUCUGGGCCGCACGCGCGCUACACUGAUGCAUUCAACGAGUUUCUUCCUGGUCCGAGAGGAAUGGGUAACCUUUUGAAAGUGCAUCGUGAUAGGGAUAGACUAUUGCAAUUAUUGGUCUUCAACGAGGAAUUCCUAGUAGACGUAGUUCAUCAGACUGCAUCGAUUACGUCCCUGCCCUUUGUACACACCGCCCGUCGCUACUACCGAUUGAAUGGCUCAGUGAGGCCUUGGGAUUGGCUUAGGAGGGUUGGCAACGACCCCCCAGAGCCGAAAACUUGGUCAAACUCGGUCAUUUAGAGGAAGUAAAAGUCGUAACA
rnacentral:rRNA from 1 species